GACGAACGCUGGCGGCGUGCUUAACACAUGCAAGUCGAACGGUGAAGCUCCAGCUUGCUGGGGUGGAUCAGUGGCGAACGGGUGAGUAACACGUGAGCAACCUGCCCCUGACUCUGGAAUAAGCGCUGGAAACGGCGUCUAAUACUGGAUACGAGAAGGGUCCGCAUGGGCACUUUCUGGAAAGUUCUUCGGUUGGGGAUGGGCUCGCGGCCUAUCAGCUUGUUGGUGAGGUAAUGGCUCACCAAGGCGACGACGGGUAGCCGGCCUGAGAGGGCGACCGGCCACACUGGGACUGAGACACGGCCCAGACUCCUACGGGAGGCAGCAGUGGGGAAUAUUGCACAAUGGGCGAAAGCCUGAUGCAGCGACGCCGCGUGAGGGAUGACGGCCUUCGGGUUGUAAACCUCUUUCAGCAGGGAAGAAGCGAAAGUGACGGUACCUGCAGAAGAAGCACCGGCUAACUACGUG
rnacentral:rRNA from 1 species